UACGGAGGGUGCAAGCGUUAUCCGGAUUUAUUGGGUUUAAAGGGUGCGUAGGCGGCCUUUUAAGUCAGUGGUGAAAACCUGCGGCUCAACCGUAUGCGUGCCAUUGAAACUGAAGGGCUUGAGUAACCAUGAGGCAGGCGGAAUGUGUAGUGUAGCGGUGAAAUGCUUAGAUAUUACACAGAACACCGAUUGCGUAGGCAGCUUGCUAAAGGUUUACUGACGCUGAUGCACGAAAGCGUGGGGAUCGAACAGG
rnacentral:rRNA from 1 species